GAGAAGAGAAUGAGAUGGGGCAGAGCUGACAAAGGACUUCAAUCACUUAAUAUAAUGAUUUAUUUCUCCAGUUCAGUGGUACCCAACUAGGAUUCCAAAGAACUUUGGCCUGAACCCCUCGGCCGACCCUAGCAUAAUCGCCCUUCAGGCCCGGAUUGCUGCUGCUCUCACCUUCCCUCAAUUCAUAUGGGGGGCAAAACAAGACUGUAUUUCCCCGCAACGAACCCUGGAGUGUUUCGCUUUAGCGGACUCCGGUCCACUCCCAUCAGAGGUUGUCCUUCUUUCGCCUCACCUCCAGCCCAGACGCAGCAACCUGGCCGGGCCCAGCGCCGCAAACCUCAGGUCUCUACAGCGGAGGUGCACCUCGACUCUCCCCACAAUUCCCUCCGCAACACCACUUCCGGCUUACCUCACAAAUUCCACAUUCCAGCCGGAAAGACCUGGGUAGGCCUUCUGCGCAUGCGUAAGACCGGGGCGGCGUCCGGGAGUCGAGAGAGCCGGCGGUGCAGGCUCCACUUUUCCACUUCCCUACACAGUGCCGGCAGUCUCGCGGGAUUUCCUCCUCUCGCGGGAGUUAUUUGAAUGCCUGAGCGGUAAAGACUCCCUAGGGGCCUGGAGGGGGGAGUGCUCUCUGACAAGAAGCCUGAGGAGACGCCGCGGAGAGCUCUGCCUCUAGGUUGGUGGGCGGGUCGGCUGUAGCUGAACGCGGACAGGAUUUGUCCGGACAGAGUCCCAGAGCCAUGGGAGCGAAAAGAGACUGCUGCGGAUUAAGAAGACCUUUCGGCUGGCGCAGCAGCCGCACCACAACCAGGGGAAGCUGGUGGUGGCGCUGAAUCGCUCCUGCCGCGGGUAAGCGCUCCCGGCCCGCGCCCGCCCCAGCCCGGAGCUGGUGGGGCCAGGACGCUGGUUCAUACACUCCAAGGGGUAACUGUCAGAUUCUGAAAAGAAUUAAAGAAUUGCUGGAUCCAAGAGGAAAUGUGUUUGCAAAUAUGAUAGAUAUUUACAGUUGCCCUUCAUGGAGUGAUCCGUUCUACACUCCUAUCAGCAGAGAAGAGAAUGAGAGGUAUUGCUUUUUUUCUGUGGGGGAGGGGUGUGGGAUUGGAAAGAACAGGAAUAUAAUUGGGAUUUUUUGAUAGAUAAGUAAAAUCCUGAAAAGUUUGGGAAUAUGAAUUAGAAUGAUAAAAUGUCUAACAAAAAUAAAUCGUUGUGUGAUAGGCUUAAUUUUAAAAAGCAGUGUUGAAUUGGGACCAUUGGGUGUUGGGUUUUUUCUUUUUCUUUUUUUGUUCCUGAACUGUACCUUUAGCACAUUUCUCUAGAUAGAUUCAAGGAUGUUUAGAAAAAUCAAAAUCUCUUGUGAUCAAAAUCUGUGCCACCUUGCUCCAUGACAGAAGCAAUUCAAAAACAAGAGACUUGGGUAAAUAUUACCCAGGUUUAUUUUCCUCAGUUUUUUCUACUGGAUGGAUAAUUAAUAAUUAUUAAAGAGUAGAGAUUUUAGCCGGGCACGGUAGCUCACGCCUGUAAUCCCAGCACUUUGAGAGGCCGAAGCGGGUGG